GAGUUUGAUCCUGGCUCAGAUUGAACGCUGGCGGCAUGCUUUACACAUGCAAGUCGGACGGCAGCACAGAGAAGCUUGCUUCUUGGGUGGCGAGUGGCGAACGGGUGAGUAACAUAUCGGAACGUACCGAGUAGUGGGGGAUAACUGAUCGAAAGAUCAGCUAAUACCGCAUACGUCUUGAGAGGGAAAGCAGGGGACCUUCGGGCCUUGCGCUAUUCGAGCGGCCGAUAUCUGAUUAGCUAGUUGGUGGGGUAAAGGCCUACCAAGGCGACGAUCAGUAGCGGGUCUGAGAGGAUGAUCCGCCACACUGGGACUGAGACACGGCCCAGACUCCUACGGGAGGCAGCAGUGGGGAAUUUUGGACAAUGGGCGCAAGCCUGAUCCAGCCAUGCCGCGUGUCUGAAGAAGGCCUUCGGGUUGUAAAGGACUUUUGUCAGGGAAGAAAAGGCUGUUGCUAAUAUCAGCGGCUGAUGACGGUACCUGAAGAAUAAGCACCGGCUAACUACGUGCCAGCAGCCGCGGUAAUACGUAGGGUGCGAGCGUUAAUCGGAAUUACUGGGCGUAAAGCGGGCGCAGACGGUUACUUAAGCAGGAUGUGAAAUCCCCGGGCUCAACCCGGGAACUGCGUUCUGAACUGGGUGACUCGAGUGUGUCAGAGGGAGGUAGAAUUCCACGUGUAGCAGUGAAAUGCGUAGAGAUGUGGAGGAAUACCGAUGGCGAAGGCAGCCUCCUGGGACAACACUGACGUUCAUGCCCGAAAGCGUGGGUAGCAAACAGGAUUAGAUACCCUGGUAGUCCACGCCCUAAACGAUGUCAAUUAGCUGUUGGGCAACUUGAUUGCUUAGUAGCGUAGCUAACGCGUGAAAUUGACCGCCUGGGGAGUACGGUCGCAAGAUUAAAACUCAAAGGAAUUGACGGGGACCCGCACAAGCGGUGGAUGAUGUGGAUUAAUUCGAUGCAACGCGAAGAACCUUACCUGGUCUUGACAUGUAGGAAUCCUCCAGAGACGGAGGAGUGCCUUCGGGAGCCGUAACACAGGUGCUGCAUGGCUGUCGUCAGCUCGUGUCGUGAGAUGUUGGGUUAAGUCCCGCAACGAGCGCAACCCUUGUCAUUAGUUGCCAUCAUUCAGUUGGGCACUCUAAUGAGACUGCCGGUGACAAGCCGGAGGAAGGUGGGGAUGACGUCAAGUCCUCAUGGCCCUUAUGACCAGGGCUUCACACGUCAUACAAUGGUCGGUACAGAGGGUAGCCAAGCCGCGAGGCGGAGCCAAUCUCACAAAACCGAUCGUAGUCCGGAUUGCACCUGCAACUCGAGUGCAUGAAGUCGGAAUCGCUAGUAAUCGCAGGUCAGCAUACUGCGGUGAAUACGUUCCCGGGUCUUGUACACACCGCCCGUCACACCAUGGGAGUGGGGGAUACCAGAAGUAGGUAGGGUAACCGCAAGGAGUCCGCUUACCACGGUAUGCUUCAUGACUGGGGUGAAGUCGUAACAAGGUAGCCGUAGGGGAACCUGCGGCUGGAUCACC
rnacentral:rRNA from 1 species